AGCGGCAAACCCUGGCGGUUCUCCGGGUUCGUGGCAACCACGGAUGGGAAAAUGUGGAGGUUGCACGGCUGAUGUUUACUGUUCGUGGCACAGGAAGAGGCAGUUUCAUUUCAGGAAUGAGUGUGCACAAUCAAAGAAUAGAGCGACUGUGGAGAGACCUCUGAGUGGCCG